rnacentral:rRNA from 1 species
GUUGACCUCGGAUCAGGUAGGGAUACCCGCUGAACUUAAGCAUAUCAAUAAGCGGAGGAAAAGAAACCAACAGGGAUUGCCUCAGUAACGGCGAGUGAAGCGGCAACAGCUCAAAUUUGAAAUCUGGCUCUUUCACGGUCCGAGUUGUAAUUUGCAGAGGAUGCUUCGGGUUCGGCUCCGGUCUAAGUUCCUUGGAACAGGACGUCAUAGAGGGUGAGAAUCCCGUAUGUGAUCGGUCGUCUCGCCCGUGUGAAGCUCCUUCGACGAGUCGAGUUGUUUGGGAAUGCAGCUCCAAAUGGGUGGUAAAUUUCAUCUAAAGCUAAAUAUUGGCCAGAGACCGAUAGCGCACAAGUAGAGUGAUCGAAAGAUGAAAAGCACUUUGGAAAGAGAGUCAAACAGUACGUGAAAUUGUUGAAAGGGAAGCGCUUGCAACCAGACUUGCCCGCGGGUGAUCAGCCGGUAUUCGUACCGGUGCACUCACCCGUGGUCAGGCCAGCAUCGGUUUGGGCGGCUGGAUAAAGUCCACCGGAAUGUAGCUCCUCUCGGGGAGUGUUAUAGCCGGAGGUGCCAUGCAGCCCGCCCGGACCGAGGACCGCGCUUCGGCUAGGAUGCU